rnacentral:rRNA from 1 species
UACAGAGGUCUCAAGCGUUGUUCGGAUUCAUUGGGCGUAAAGGGUGCGUAGGCGGCGCGGUAAGUCGGGUGUGAAAUCUCGGAGCUUAACUCCGAAACUGCAUUCGAUACUGCCGUGCUUGAGGACUGGAGAGGAGACUGGAAUUUACGGUGUAGCGGUGAAAUGCGUAGAUAUCGUAAGGAAGACCAGUGGCGAAGGCGGGUCUCUGGACAGUUCCCGGACGCGUGAGGC